rnacentral:rRNA from 1 species
UACGUAGGGGGCGAGCGUUGUCCGGAUUUAUUGGGCGUAAAGAGCGUGUAGGCGGCCAGGUAGGUCUGCUGUGAAAACUCGAGGCUCAACCUCGAGACGUCGGCGGAAACCAUCUGGCUAGAGUCCGGAAGAGGAGAGUGGAAUUCCUGGUGUAGCGGUGAAAUGCGCAAAUAUCAGGAAGAACACCCGUGGCGAAGGCGGCUCUCUGGGACGGUACUGACGCUGAGGAGCGAAAGCGUGGGGAGCGAACAGG